rnacentral:sRNA from 1 species
UUGUUCUUCGGGACUGACGAUGGCCUCAAUAAGGAAAUCAAGGAGGUUUAAUUCCUCUGUUAGUCAACACUUUUUUGC